ACGCGAUAAGUUUCCCGCCUGGGGUGUACGCACGCAAGUGUGAAACUCAAAGGAAUUGACGGGGGCCCGCACUANCGGUGGAACAUGUGGUUUAAUUCGAAGCUACGCGAAGAACCUUACCAGGGCUUGACAUCUAACGAAUCUUGCGGAUACGCGAGAGUGCCCUUCGGGGAAUGUUAAGACAGGUGGUGCACGGUUGUCGUCAGCUCGUGUCGUGAGAUGUUGGGUUAAGUCCCGCAACGAGCGCAACCCUCGUCGUUAGUUGCUGACAAGAGCAUGCUCUUGUUGAGCUCUCUAGCGAGACUGCCGGUGAUAAACCGGAGGAAGGUGGGGAUGACGUCAAAUCAUCAUGCCCCUUAUGCUCUGGGCUACACACGUGUUACAAUGGAUGGAACAACGAGCAGCCAGCCGGCGACGGUGAGCAAAUCUCUUAANUCCAUUCUAAGUUCGGAUCGUAGUCUGCAACUCGACUACGUGAAGUCGGAAUCGCUAGUAUACGCAGAUCAGCACGCNUCCGUGUAUACGUUCCCCGGGCCUUGUACACACCGCCC
rnacentral:rRNA from 1 species